GUGUCUUUUUCCUGCCACCGAGUAAGGGACGAUCUUCACACACAUACCCCACUCCGCCCCCACCUCGGCGCACCGUUUCUCGGAGAAGCCAUCUUCUCAGAGACGAAAGACUCUGAGAGACAUCUGAUCCCCUACCAAAAGGUUCUCAGUACCUGUACAAAGAAAAUCAGGAAAGAAGGAAUCCUCACAGGUCUUUGGCCCAAUCCUCUCAUUUUACAGAUAAGGACCCCCAAAUCAGAGAGAGGAGGACAUCUGUCGGUGGUCCUACAGCAAGCUGACGACCCAGCUCCCCAGCCUCCCGACUUUCAGCCCAACACUCUGCCCCCACCCCACGCUGCUGCUGCGUGUGCAGCCACUCAGUGACUAACCAGGGAGGAGGGGGGCUGAAACGAGCUCCCACCGAAAUAGGCUGCUGCCUGUGCGUGAUUAUGUUGCUAUGAGAACCUCAGUGGGUGUGUUUCCUCCGUUAGCUGUCGAAAUCUUUUGCUUGGCUUGGCUUCUCCCCAAGCGCAGACACGGCUCCCCUUGGAAUGGAGAGUGGAGAGGCUGAGCUGGAGAACUACAUUUUCACAGCAAGAGUUUUCUAGCCCAGCCCAUCCCAGAGCUGGCCUGGGGCUGUGAGUAAGGAGCCGGGGCCACCAGGGUGGUUCCAUGAAGGCUGGGAGGAGAAGAGUGAACCAUCUCGACAGUGGAUACGUCAUCCCCCUUUUGAGCCAUCUUGGAACAGAGCGGGGCUGUCCCUGCUAUGCAACCACCUAACUACAAAUUCACAAGCAAAAUAAUUGUUACUUUAAGGGAC